rnacentral:SRP_RNA from 1 species
CCGUGCAGCCGGGGAGUUAGCGGUGCCCUGUACCUGCAAUCCGCUAUAGCAGGGGUGAUGUCCGGUCUAGGGCUUACGAUUUCGGAGCUGCCCUUCCGAGGAGAUGUUGACGUUUGGGUCUUGCGCAACAGGUAUUUGUGAACCGUGUCAGGUCAGGAAUGAAGCAGCACUAAGCAAAACCACCUGUGUGCCGCGAGGGUGCCUGAGCUGAGUUGACUUUGAAGGUAACGUCCGGGGUUGUAGAUUCGAAACAGGACGCACGG